AUCAUAAUUUAUAAAAUAAAAUUUGUGCUGAGAUGGAUAUAUAUCAUAUUUUAAUAUUUUUUUAAUUUUAUGGUCAAUAAGAAAAAUAUCUUCUUAUCAUUUUUUAUUAAAUAAUAUAUUCUAAUAGUAUGUACAACUUUCAAAUUAAUAAUCCGAUAUAUAUGCCCUUAUUCAAUAAACAUAUGAAAAUUUUAUAUAAUAUUUUUUUGAUUAUAUCAUGCAUAUGAUUAUCCUAACAAACCAACAAAUAAAAAAAUAUAGUGUCAAAUAUAAGAGUGAAAAAUAACUAAAAAUAGGAGGAA
rnacentral:lncRNA from 1 species